rnacentral:lncRNA from 1 species
GGAAAGUGGCAGAAUUGAAACCCAGAACCCCUGACCCCCCGCGAGCUCAUGCUCUUUCCACGAGGCCACGUGGCUUCUUGUAGUGUGCCCAAAACCAUUUGAGGCUGUGCUUCCCUUCGGCCUGAAGAUAGCCGUUCUUUUUCUUGCACACAUCUGUUCUCCUGGGCAUAUGUUUUAGUAUCCGGCUAUCGUUCACUCGCUUUCUGUAAACGCAUCCAUUCGCUAGAGUGCCCAGUCCUUGCUACAACCUCCCAAAUGCCUGAUUUAGUCCUCUGCACACAGUAAGUGCUUCAUGCAGACCACUGACAGAUUUUAUCUCCCGGCCCUGUUGCUCGAACACCGCAGUUGAUGCCGCCAUUUAGGAUUUAAUUGUUAGCCCUCAUGAUUUGCCAUUCGGUUUCAAAUCUGGUCCGUGGUGGUCACGGAUGAAAUUGCUCAGGAGCAGUUCCGACUGAUCCCUGUGCCUCCUUGUACGUCUGCUUCCAGAGCCCAGUCUGUGUCAGCAUCCGGCGGAUUCUGGACGGCCUCCUCGGGCAUCGGUCGAGCCACCGUCGGUUGCCUCCGAAGCUGGUGAGACGGAAGAGUGAGUCCGAAAGGAGUUCUGACCCAGCUUCCAGGCCUUUGGUUGUCUUCAAACACGGGCCCGUUGCUCAGCCCCGCUGUCCUCCAGGGGUGAUGAGGACCCUUUCCCGUAUCUCUGCCCCUUCCCGUUCUGAGGACUUCCGGACGGAGGGUUGGUUUGCCUCGGAUCGGAUCACCACAGGAGGAAGAUGGGCCUUGGAUAGCGGCCGACCAGUGGGAUUAAAAGGAUGUGCAAGUUGAUGAGACUUUAUGAUUCUUGGUGACCUAUUAUGUCUCGGGAUGAAAGAAAAUUGAGGAAGGGGAGGGGGUGUGGGGAGUGUAUUAGAGCAGAAAUAAAUGAUCUGAUCCCUC